rnacentral:rRNA from 1 species
CCUACGGGUGGCAGCAGUGAGGAUUAUUGGUCAAUGGACGAGAGUCUGAACCAGCCAAGUAGCGUGAAGGAUGACUGCCCUAUGGGUUGUAAACUUCUUUUAUAUGGGAAUAAAAUGUUCCACGUGUGGGAUUUUGUAUGUACCAUAUGAAUAAGGAUCGGCUAACUCCGUGCCAGCAGCCGCGGUAAUACGGAGGAUCCGAGCGUUAUCCGGAUUUAUUGGGUUUAAAGGGAGCGUAGGUGGAUUGUUAAGUCAGUUGUGAAAGUUUGCGGCUCAACCGUAAAAUUGCAGUUGAAACUGGCAGUCUUGAGUACAGUAGAGGUGGGCGGAAUUCGUGGUGUAGCGGUGAAAUGCUUAGAUAUCACGAAGAACUCCGAUUGCGAAGGCAGUUCACUGGACUGCAACUGACACUGAGGCUCGAAAGUGUGGGUAUCAAACAGGAUUAGAUACCCGAGUAGU